AGUGAACGCUGGCGGUAGGCCUAACACAUGCAAGUCGAACGGCAGCACAGUAAGAGCUUGCUCUUACGGGUGGCGAGUGGCGGACGGGUGAGGAAUACAUCGGAAUCUACUUUUUCGUGGGGGAUAACGUAGGGAAACUUACGCUAGUACCGCGUACGACCUACGGGUGAAAGCAGGGGAUCUUCGGACCUUGCGCGAUUGAAUGAGCCGAUGUCGGAUUAGCUAGUUGGCGGGGUAAAGGCCCACCAAGGCGACGAUCCGUAGCUGGUCUGAGAGGAUGAUCAGCCACACUGGAACUGAGACACGGUCCAGACUCCUACGGGAGGCAGCAGUGGGGAAUAUUGGACAAUGGGCGCAAGCCUGAUCCAGCCAUACCGCGUGGGUGAAGAAGGCCUUCGGGUUGUAAAGCCCUUUUGUUGGGAAAGAAAAGCAGCAGGUUAAUACCCCGCUGUUCUGACGGUACCCAAAGAAUAAGCACCGGCUAACUUCGUG
rnacentral:rRNA from 1 species